AUUGAACGCUGGCGGCAUGCUUUACACAUGCAAGUCGAACGGCAGCGCGGGCUUCGGCCUGGCGGCGAGUGGCGAACGGGUGAGUAAUACAUCGGAACGUGCCCAGUAGUGGGGGAUAGCUCGGCGAAAGCCGGAUUAAUACCGCAUACGACCUGAGGGUGAAAGCGGGGGAUCUUCGGACCUCGCGCUAUUGGAGCGGCCGAUGGCAGAUUUGCUAGUUGGUGGGGUAAAGGCCUACCAAGGCGACGAUCUGUAGCUGGUCUGAGAGGACGACCAGCCACACUGGGACUGAGACACGGCCCAGACUCCUACGGGAGGCAGCAGUGGGGAAUUUUGGACAAUGGGCGAAAGCCUGAUCCAGCAAUGCCGCGUGUGUGAUGAAGGCCUUCGGGUUGUAAAGCACUUUUGGCGGGAACGAAAAGGACUGUGCCAAUACCACGGUUCGAUGACGGUACCCGCAGAAUAAGCACCGGCUAACUACGUG
rnacentral:rRNA from 1 species